GCUGGCACUCUAAAUUGAUGCGAACAAAUUUUUUUUAAUCAUAAUAUUCAAAUAUUACUACCUUUUUUAUUAUACAAUCAAUCCUUACUUGAAAAUAUAACUCAUUUACUAUGCGGCUAUAUAGAUUUACAUACUAGAAUGCUUAUAUGGUCAGUUUUGGUUGUUGCGGACAAAAUUUUUUAUUAUAUGAGUCAGUCUGAGGUAUGAAAACUACUGAAUUUUGUUUACGCUUCAAUAUUUUGAAUAAAAAAGGACAUGCUGGCACUCUAAAUUGAUGCGAACAAAAUUUUGUAAUCAUAAUAUUCAAAUAUUGCUACCUAUUUUCUUAUACAAUCAAUCCUUACAUGAAAAUAUAGCUCAUUUACUAUGCGGCUAUAUAGAUUUACAUAAGCAAAUGCUUAUAUGGUCAGUUUUGGUUGUUGCGGACAAAUAAUUUUAUUAUAUGAGUCAGUCUGAGGUAUGAAAACUACUGAAUUU
rnacentral:lncRNA from 1 species